UUUUCUACGUGUAUAUUACAACGUAAAGUACAUCCUUAGUUUUCUACGAUAGCGUAAAGUAUAUUACGACCUUCUAUUUCUAAAUAUAAAAUAAUAAAUCCAGGGAGAAAUUUUAUAUUAAACUGGGUUGAAUCGAAAGAAUAUUAAACACAAGCGCUAGAUUAAUCAUUCCGUAACAAUUUUUACAUAUUUACAUGUGCGUUAAAAGACGUUAAUCAUCCGAAUACAUAUAUCAUGCAUCUGUGGAAUCCGCCAUAUUGAAUUUCUAAACAAUUUUGAAUACAAGCGCGAAAUUAAUUCAAUGUUCCUUAAAAUAUUUCCGUAUUUACAUAUUAAUAUUAAUGUUUCAUACAUAUGAAACAUAUGAAAUAUACGGAUAUGAGACACCCUGUAUACCUGGUUUAACAUAGAAACGAUUACUGUCAAUUGCUGUCAAUCCCUGUCACGGGUAAUUCCGCCGGCGGAUAGUUUGGCAAUGUUUAGAUUAAAAGGGAAACUUUUAAACUUAUUUUGAUAAUCCUUAAUCGGAAAAUAUUCUCCAUAAACGGAAUAUAAACAUUGUGCCAUGUAAUUUUUUACGUACAUGGCAGUCCAAUUGUCGCGAGUGUUUGCUGCCAGUAUUUGGAUUAUCUUUGCAAUUUACAUUAGUUGCAAAAAACCACGGCGCAAUUGCAAAAUAAAUCCGGAAGAUACAGUCACCGGAAAUCAAUGGUCGCAAUUAGUACUGGAUGGAAUUAGAAGAGAUUCAAGACAUUAACGCAGAGGCAUACAAGUUCUUGUCGAAACAAAUCCGAAGAAAAGAAUUACACGAUUAAAGCAUCGACUACCACUUGGGUCCUUCACCAUGGCCAACAAUGAAGGCUCUACACUUCCGUUUAAGAUACUUUGGAACGUUGGUUGGGUGUUCUUCGCAAGUUAUUACUUUAAUUGGGGCGAAAAUCAAGCAACGGUCGUGCAUCCAGUAGACGGCUCCGGUUGGGUUGCAGAUGGCGCUCUAGGACGUUACGUCGGACACGAAUAAAAGGACCAUACGAAAAUAUUUGUACAACCGCUUAGAGUCCAAUCAAAGCUUUGUCAUUCCAAUACUUCAUUAAGAAACGACCGGCAACAAAUUAUUAAUAUAAAUGUAAUUUAUUCAGAAUGAUAUACGCAAAAGAAUA